CUCAUAUCAUAUACUAAACUUUCAAAAGUCUAUAGUUUGAUAGAUAUUUUCAUAUUUAAAAAUGAGUUUUCUGAAUAUUCAUGUUACCUUCAAAAAUGUAGAAAUUCAUUGGUUCUGUUAAAGCUAACCCGACUUCACGAUAUCAGUAUUGAUUAUUCACGAUUUUGAAAAUUAUUGGUUUAGAUAUUAUACUUUUAUAUACUUUUCACUUAAAAAUGAAUCAAAACUACUAAAAGGGAAGAAGUUUUUAAAAAUUUAAUAUAAAAAGUUUUUGGAGUCAUGUAUAACUAUUUAUUAUUUUUUGGUGAUACCAUUAAUCAUUCUAACCAUACAAUAUUUUAAAUAUUUUUAACAGAUCCUAAUAUUAUUUCUUAUGAUACUUUUUCACAGAAAAAUAAUUCAUCAACCAUGUUUUUGUACAAUAAUGUACUUGAAACUCCAAACAAAUACCCAAAAAAUUCAAAUACCUAAAAAUUCAAAAUCUGACAUGAUGAACUGAAAAAUAUCCAAAAUUUUAUUCAAAUAACCAAAUUUUAUUUUAAUUUGAAAAUUUACCUGAAAUCAAAAACUAUAAUCGUAAACCAAAAACUUAGAAAAAUAUCCAUAAUAUCGGAAACAUAUUCGAAAUAUCCAAAUAUACCUAAUAACCACAACAUAUUUAUGAUCGGGUCUAAGGUAGGACCCAGACUCAAACAAAGGCCUACGGGUCCAAAAAAAAACCCAAUAGGGUAUCUUCUCUCGACCUGAACUAAACCUAUAUUUUCGGGUCGGUUCGUUUUUUAAUCCGGAUAUAAUUCUCAUGCCUAAAAGAAACUUGCGUAAAAGUAUACAUAUAAAAUCUCAAAUAAACUAAUUCAUAGAUUAUAUAACUGUUAAAAUUUAUAUUUUUCGAUAUAAUAAGACUUUGUAUUAUAAUAUAAUCCAAUAAACCUGCGCUUUUCAAGCGCGGAUCAAAAUCUAGUACACACAUUAAUUGUCAGGGACAUUUGUCACAGUUCAAAGGCCAAAAACUGUAAUAAACUGUGGGUACACAUGUGGCAUAGACACAUUUUGGAGGUGAUGCCGUGAUGGUCUCUAACGAUGUCGCAACAAUAUGCAGUACUAUUAUGUCCAGUUUGUUGAUAUAUUCAGGAUAACAAAAGAAUUUCUAGCUUUUAAAUAGAGAAAGAACUUAUCAUCUUUCUCACACUGUAUUACGAUGUUAUAUGCCAACAUAACCUAAAGAAGCAGGCCUAAUGAAAUCUAUAUUCUCACCAGAAUUGAGUUCACUUUGGUCCUGGAAUCUCAGCGCUCUGUUCAUUAAACCUAAACAAUCUAUUUUGAGAGGAUUUACUCAUACAUAACCCUUGUGUAAGACAACAACAAUCCAUUAUAUAUGCGGUUGUAGGCACGGCCGGCCGAGGAGGGGGUAAGCGGUGCGACCGCCCUGGAACUCAAGCCCGUGCCUCCCGUAUAUUAAUAUAGUUAAGGAGUUCAAUUUUUUUAAAAAAGUCUAUUUUUAUAUAAAAAAUUAUAAAUAUAAUAAAUAAAAUUCAAAAGGGCCAAAAAUAUUUAAUAUGCAUAUAGUUUUAUUUUGGACAAUUCUCAUAAAUAUACUAUUUUCAAGUUUUGGUCACAAAAGUAAAGGAAAAUUGCCACAAAUACCACUUUCAAUGUACCACUUUUCAUUAAUACCUUAACCAACUUUACCAUUAAAAUUUUAAUAGGCAAAAUACAAUUAUACCCCUAUCUAAUUAAAACUACAACUAUUAUCUUCUUCUCCACUAUCUGAUAAUCAAUCCGACGAGAUCCGGUGAUUCUGACGAGUUUUCCGGCGAGCUUUGACAACGAAGACGAGUUCUCUUGCGAAAUCUGACGAUGCUGAUGAGUUCUCUGGCGAAACACGAAUGAGACAAUCUCUCUCCUGAUGCUGAUGAGUUUCCGGUGAGAUCUGAAGAUGCUAACGAGUUUUCCGGCGAGAUCUGACGAUGCCGAGAAGUUCUCCGGCAAAGCUGACAGACUCGACAAGCUCAGACGAACGAGACGAUCUCUCUCCCAACGCCUAAGAAACACUAACAAAGGUAAGAUGAUAGUAUAUGGUGAUUUUUGCCUCUUUCUGUAAUUUUUGCUUGAUUUAUCAAAAUCGAUAUGUUUCUAAGAAAGAAGACGAAGUUUUUCAAGUGAAGUUUUCAGAUCUCAAAUUUAUAAGAUCUUAUAAAUUGGGUCCUUUCAAAUCUUACUAUUGAUCUGUUAGCAAUCAAAAGACACAAAGCUUAACGUAAGAGUACAAUUAUUGAUUUGGUUGAUUUAUUGUCAUAGUUUUCAGAUUUAUAUAAUUAUUUAAUUCAUGAGAAGGUACUAACCUAAGAGUAUAAUUAUUCCAUGAUUACUUCUUCUCUUGGUUGAUUUGGUGAUGUUGCAGAGAAUUACAAAUGUGUGUUGUUAGCUUUUGGAUUUAAAGGAUGUUGUGGAGAAUAUGUGUGGUGAUAUGCAUAUCUAAGUAUCUCACUUCCUUAAGAUUUUGAAAAUUUACGAGGUUGGUGAGCUGUUUGAAGAGGCAAGAGAGACUCUGAAGAAGAGUGUGGUUUGUGCUAUCAAAGAAUUACGUAUUUAUAACGCUUUAUAAAAGUUGCAGAGUUGGCUUCUUAGUACAUUCUUCUCUCUCAUCUUCUUUAGACAUCUCUUAUACUAAAACAAUUGUAUCUCUCUUUUAGUAGUUGCAUAGUUGAAGAUAUUAGUUGGACAUGUAAGUGAGUUUGGUUUCAAUUGUUUCUUUUAUAUAAGAGUGAGAUAUGGAGAACCCUUGAUGUUCU